CGAGCCGAGCCGCCGGGGAGAGCCCCCCCCCAAGCCAGCCGGCGUCCCGAGGGUCGUGUGGACGUCCCGGCUGGAAAGCGGGCAGCUUUUUUUGGGGGACAGCCCUUUGAACUCCUGCCAGCCUUUAACGACUCGGAGGGCGGGCGAGGUGCGGAGUAAAAUAUUGCCGGGGUUAAGAAAAAGACGGGGCUCUGGAAUAUUUGCAACCAGAAAAACUGUGGAGCUCCCAGAAAGGGUGCACAAACCAGCCAUCUUGAAUAUUUUAAUCUCUGGCAAGUGUUUCUUUGGAACAAAAUGGAUGUUGGAGGGAAGCGGCAUAGUUAACAUUGCUGUAGCCUUCCAUUUCUCACACCAUCCCUCUCGCAGCAUUCAGCUGGCACGAAGCAAUGAAACUGGAGGGAACGCCACAGCCUUUCCUCUGCGUGCAGAGGUCAUAAAUAAUCGCGGUAUGAGCACUGCGGGCUGGAAAUUUAGUACCUCUCUAAGCGAUGGUGCUUUCUUUACCCACGAUUUAUAUUGAUUUGUGGGCAUCAAUAUAAGUCACAUGUAAAGCUGUAAAAUCACUUUCAGAGCUCAUUCGACAUAAACAAUUGGUCUGGAUUCGCCAAGAAUACUUUUGCAAAGAUUUUUUUUAUCCUGAUUUUUUUUAAUCCCUUUUUAUCAUACAGUACGUCGUUACUGUCACUGAAGUCAAAGGAGGUGUUCCCUCUGAUCACCCUGGAAAUUGCAUCAGGCCCUGGGCUGAGAGUUUGUUGCGUAUUCGUGAUAUGAACAAAUUAUUCUAAGGAUUCAUUGUUUGGCCAUAAAAACCACUCUAGGCUGAAAUUAGGCUCAGAAAGUCCCCAGGAUUUUUUCCACUUUAACUAAAAUGGAUUAACAGCUGUCCUUUUUUUUUUUUUUUUCCUUCCAAAACUGAUGGUGAAAACAAAUACAACAUGCUGAUUCAGAUGCUUUUUGUUUCCAUAAAACUACGAAAUUGCUUUAUUAUUAUUAUUAUUAUUUUCCUCCCUAAGAAUUUUAAGUCCCUUAAUGCUGGUUAGGCCUUUCCAAAUUAAAAAAAAAAAAAUUAUUUAAAGGCAAAAAGUGUAGCAGCCGACUGACAGAGGGGUGUGGUGAAAGCAGAGACAAUAAGGCAGCGGUUCAGAUGCAAGGCUUUGAAAGGCUCCUUCUGAGGGCUUAUUUAUUUAUUUACGUUCUUUUUGCUGUUUGCUUACUUUGGACCUACUCUUUCUGCAGAUAAGCUCAGCAGAAACAGCUCGGUUAAAAAGCCAAAGACACCUAAUAAAAAUAACGCAGAGGUGGCUGGAGACCAUUGUCUAAAGAUUAAAGAAUAGGACUGCAGGGCAAAACUGCUUGAUUUUAUUGACUUGCUGAUUUGCUUAAUGUCAAUUUAGGCAAAACUUCUUACCCUAGGUGUUAAGGCUAAGGUUACUGUUAAGACCUGUAUUGUUCUUGUUAAAGUUUCUAAAUUUUUAAGGCAGUUUUGGAGUUCUGAUACACAGUUCCUGAUAUUUUCAGUACAUUAAUACAGAUUUAACUUCUGUAUCUGAACAUUUUUGCUCUAAUUUCUCUGUGCCAUAUUUUCCCCUGUGGACGGAUGCCUUAAAAUAUAUCUAGCAUCUGUUUCAUAGGCAUCCUGAUGUUUAUACAGCAUUUCUUGAGACUAUUUGGAUCAGAAGGCACCAUGAAGUCACGCAGCUUACCGGUCAUUUUUUUUUCACAAUUGGAACAUGUAGGAACCUCAAAAGAACAGUGGUUUUGAGAAGCAGUAAGCAAAAUUACUAAAAUUCAAAUGACAAGCCCCAUCAGAGGCAAAAAUUGCAAACUUGUAUUUGUACAAAAAUAUUGCAGAGACUAGAAACAAUAGGCUAGAAAAGCAGCUGCUGACUUCCUAAAGGACAUCGUAUCCUACAAAUGAAAACUGCAUUCUGUUAGCUCAAAUUGUUAGUGUUAUCUACAAAACAGGAAAAUCUCAACUAGACUGAAUAAUACUGGGAAUUUGGGGACUGCUGUAUGGCCCAGAGAGAAAAGGUAUAUCAAAUUAGUUGGAAGCUUAAGGAACUGCAUUUAAAUGUCAAGAACCCCCAGUUUAUGUGGGAAAGGUGUGUAGGAUGCCAGAGAGGAAACAGGGUGCAAAGAAAGGACUGCAGAGAUAGACCUCUUUGUUUUGUUCAUCAGAUGUAAAGGACAAAGAAAUUUGAUCAAAACAGGUAAGUUUUUUUUUUUAUGAUGACUCAAAUGAUCCGUUUUGCUUGAAGAGAAACAACAGUAUAGUAUUAUCUCCUGUAAAAAAUAAAGCUUUUAUUCAUAAAGUUCAUUUCCCCUCAUAUACCUGAAAUGUUGUUACAUGAGACAAACUCAGAUAUUUUCCUCUGUUCAGUAUUGUAUUCCCUGAUCUUCAUCAUAAGCUUUGGUGACAAAACCUGAGAGCUAGAUUGCCCCUUUACAGGCGUGGGUGAACAGGCAGAGAAAGCUGCAGGACUACUUCUAUCCACACAUUCCAGAGGGGCAAGGGAAUUCUGGCAACUUCCAAAUAACCGAGGCCAAAGGGGUUGCGUGAGGCUCCAGGAGCAGAAGGUGGAGCUUCCCCACGGCAGCCAGCCUGGCGGACGCGCAAGCAGCAGUGGCUGUCCUUGACUCCUCUAUUAUGAACACUUCACUCCCGGAAAUCAGGGGAGGUUGUCUUAGUCUCAGGGGCUGAAUGGACUGAUCCUGAAGGUGAGCACUGCUGUGAUACUUCCUCCAGGAAAAAAGGCGUAUUAUAGAAAAACUCAGCACAUCAUCGUCCUCUCGAGGAAAAAUUAUUUUGUCACUCAGCCAUUAGGCUACCGUGUGCAAGAGCAGUGUGCUGCUCUGCCAGCCCUUUGGGGCAUUUCUCUUAGUGCGAGGAGGAGAGCUGCAGACGUGCUGAAACCACAAGAUCGAUUAUAAAGCCGUGUGUGUCCUGGGAACAUCUGGAAGGUGAGCUGCUGCAGCAUCGAUGAGAUCAGCGGAGCGGGACAUUCUUUGUUAUCUUUACCUUUUGGGGAGCUGUAGGACUGAUGAACAUGCCACCGAAUACGUUUUCUUUCUUUAAAUAUUGUUGGUAAUAUGUUAAAUCCUAUUCCUUCUCUCUCUCUGACAUUGUUAGGCUUCCUUUUGAAAGAUGAGCAGGUUUGGGCUGUGCCAUUUACUCAUCCACAGAGGAACAAUGGCUUGUGAAAUGAUAACAGGUGAUUUCUGGGGUUUGGUGCUUUGGAUACUCUGCUGAUUUAGACAAUAACUCAAAUUGCUCUCCUCAGCCUUUUUGCAGCGUGGACCUAGGUGUCGUAUUCGUUUGGAAAGGAGAAUCUUCCAAGGUGUGUGCAGGUGGAGGUGAGCACACAGCAGCUGGGGAAGCGGCGGCUGGCGUGGCUUCCCAGGGAUGCAGCGCGGUUGCUGAAGACGAGACCUCCAGCCCCUCCAGCUCCAGGGACCCACAGCUCUCAGAGGCAAAACCUGCCAAGCCCCGAGCCCUCCGUGCAGUGGGCUGCUGAGUCCAAAGAAUAAUGAAGCUUUCGUGGCGGUCGCUCCAUCAGUGCCACGUCCCUGCUGCCCACCGCACAGUCAUGAGCUAGCCCGUCGGGAUCUCAAAACGAAACCACCUCUCCUCUCUGUGAUCCCGUCUCCUUUCUUCGCUGCCUUUCGGUGCGUUUUGAACAGUUUUUGAGCCUGGUCAGGUGAUGCAGGCAUCCCUGCUGCUCCUGCCCGCUCGCAGCGCCUGUGAAUGAGCUCUCCUGGAGCAGUGUUUCCUGCCUGGCAGUGACACGAGAGCUGCCUCGCAAGAUGGAUUUUCUCACUCCUUCUCUCUCCUGCUCUCUUCAUUUCUCCUUAGUCUCUCCGCUGGCUUUUGCUUCCGAGAUCCCUGACUCCCUUUGUGCCCCUCUCCCCUUUUUCCUUUCUUUCUUCCAUUUUUCCUGUUUCUUGUAUUCUCUCUUCACUUAUUUUUCUCUCUAUUAUCUUUCCUGUCCUCCUCUGCAUUCUUUCAAUCCCAGCAGGGCUGGCGCAUACAAAUUGACCCCCUCCCAGUCAGUAAUGUGAUCGAAGCUCUUUGUGGCUCCUGCUAUCUCUAUGGUAACUAUCAGGGGGGUCUCGAGAGUGGUGGUAGACCCAAUGCACCGGCCCACAUACUGUUGUUCUCGCUGACAGUACAUACUGACCACAUGGGCCUGACUGCUCAUUUAAAACUACUUAUUAUUUUAAAAAAAUGCUGGUGUCUUAGAGUGCUUAAGUGGGAAAACUGACCGCAUGCCUGAGCGCAAAUAGUUGUUGGGUUCUCAGGGUUUUGAAAAUGGUUUCUGCAUUCAGAGCUACUUUCCUUGGCAGGUCCGUUGUUGUUUUCUAACCAUUACAGAGCAGUGCGAUGGCUGUUUUAAGGACUCUGGAAACAAGGGUUACACGGCAAAACUGAGUAUCCACGUUGUGGUGGUAGCCAUUGGCAGUGCAAUUGCUGCGUGGCUAUAACCAGCAGAGCUUAACAAAGUAUGGAACAUAGGGCUGUGCAUUUUAAAUGCUGGGGACACCUGCCUUUCACUGUGCUAGCUUGUGUACAGCACACCUCUCAGGUGGCUGCUGUAGCGCAGGUGUUAAGAACGAAACUGUAGGGAAGCAUUAUGCUGAUAAUAUGUGUGUUUGUCCACGAUUUGGGAUUUGUGCAAGCAUGAAAUGACUGUAGGAUCUGACUGAAGGAACCACAGAAAAACCUGUGGUGUGGACAGAAGAAAUGGAUCCAGUCCCGUUUGACUGCCAGGGUUUCCUCAGUGAGCCCUUGAAGCCAGCGGGAAUAUGGGGAACCAGAGAGACUGCAUGAAACCUAAGGCUGCAUAUAUUUCACCAGAUCCACUUGCCCAAGGGAGAAGCCCUAGAACUUUUGAAGAGGUUAAAUUCAUAAUACAAAAUUAAUUUCCUCCAAAUACAUGUGGAAAUUACUCUUUGAGUAGUACAUCUGAUAUUAAAACUGUAUUUCUUGUCAGGACUGCACUCUUUAAAAUCACUGAUUUUUAUUCUUAGUUUUUGCCCAAAGCAAAUUUCUUCUACAAUAUUUAUGUCCAGAAAAAAGUGGUUCUGUUUCUAACUGAGUUUGUUAAUUCCAUUAAUAGCAUAUGCUGGAAGGCAGGUAUAAUUAAAAUCUAUGGUAAAUUCUUCUGCAAGAUUAUCUGACUUCUUAAAAUAAAUUGUGUUUCAUUCGUCGUACAGCUUUGUAGGAAUUUCAGCGUAGGAAAAUGUUGACUAGCCAUGUUAUAUCCUAACGUGUAUUGCUGCAUCACUUAGGUUGGGCAAUGUUGGCCAGUCAUUUGCAUUUUACUGGCCUUUCUGCUGUUUGAAAAGGUACCACAAAAUCCACACUGGCCUAUUUGAGUCUCUAAAUCUCUCAAGCAGUAACACCGUGUUGUUGACACUGAAUCAUCAGUUUGCUCAGAUCCUCGAAAAGAAUAAACUUCAGAAGAUGAUCAUCAGGCUUUUCAGCUGGCUGUACGAUCCAUAUUCACAACUUUAUUAAUUGUUUGGUCCAUGUGGAUGCAUGUCGACUGUGGGUUUUACAUCUACCUACCUUUAAAUAAAGCAAGAUAUAUACAUAAACGGCACUUUUUGGUGAAAUCCAGUCAGCGGUGAAAUGGUUAACACUGUGGGCAUUUAAGUGGUCAUAAUUAACAGUCCAUUAAGAUGAAUGGAGAAAGUUCUCACUUAGCCAUGCUAUUGUUUCAUUCUGUCUGUUUACAGACUCAACGAGACAACACUGUGUGGCUUGACAUGCCCGGGUUUUUGCACCAGGGAAGCUAGGAAUCACGUUUUAAAUUAAAUAAAAACCUUAAAUAAUAAUAAUAAAAAAGCCUUUGGAAACACAUUUGCUACUUUGAGGGACUUCUAGUGU